AACGCACAUUGCACUCUCUGGUAUUCCGGAGAGUAUGCUUGUUUGAGUAUCUGUAAACAUCUCAAAUCUCUCUUCGCUUUGCGUCGAGAGAAUUGGAUUUGAGCGAUCCCGACUCCUUCAUCAGAAAGAGGAGGGUCGCUUGAAAUGCAGGUGCAGCUGGACAUUCUUCUGAGCUAAAAGCAUAUCUAUUUAGUCCCGUCAAACGGAUUAUUACUUUUGCUUCAGCUAAUAUAAAGGUUGAAUGAACUACCAACGCUGAUUGCAGGAAAACUUGUUCGUUUAUUCGAACUUGUAAACUCGAUCUCAAAUCAAGUAAGACUACCCGCUGAACUUAA
rnacentral:misc_RNA from 1 species